UAGGGAAUCUUCGGCAAUGGACGAAAGUCUGACCGAGCAACGCCGCGUGCGUGAAGAAGGUUUUCGGAUCGUAAAACUCUGUUGUUAGUGAAGAACAAGGACGUUAGUAACUGAACGUCCCCUGACGGUAUCUAACCAGAAAGCCACGGCUAACUACGUGCCAGCAGCCGCGGUAAUACGUAGGUGGCAAGCGUUGUCCGGAUUUAUUGGGCGUAAAGCGAGCGCAGGCGGUUUCUUAAGUCUGAUGUGAAAGCCCCCGGCUCAACCGGGGAGGGUCAUUGGAAACUGGGAGACUUGAGUGCAGAAGAGGAGAGUGGAAUUCCAUGUGUAGCGGUGAAAUGCGUAGAUAUAUGGAGGAACACCAGUGGCGAAGGCGGCUCUCUGGUCUGUAACUGACGCUGAGGCUCGAAAGCGUGGGGAGCAAACAGG
rnacentral:rRNA from 1 species